rnacentral:rRNA from 1 species
AUGAACGCUAGCGACAGGCCUAACACAUGCAAGUCGAGGGCAGCACAAGGAGCAAUCUGAGGUGGCGACCGGCGCACGGGUGAGUAACACGUAUGCAACCUGCCUGUAAGCGGGGAAUAACCCGUUGAAAGACGGACUAAUACCGCAUAAUACUAAAUUACUGCAUGGUAAUUUAUUUAAACAUUUAUGGCUUACAGAUGGGCAUGCGCAUGAUUAGCUAGUUGGAGAGGUAACGGCUCCCCAAGGCAACGAUCAUUAGGGGUUCUGAGAGGAAGGUCCCCCCACACUGGUACUGAGACACGGACCAGACUCCUACGGGAGGCAGCAGUGAGGAAUAUUGGUCAAUGGACGAGAGUCUGAACCAGCCAAGUCGCGUGCAGGAAGAAUUGUCCUAUGGAUUGUAAACUGCUUUUGCAGGGGAAUAAAGUGCAUCACGUGUGGUGUUUUGUAUGUACUCUGCGAAUAAGGAUCGGCUAACUCCGUGCCAGCCGCCGC